GACGAACGCUGGCGGCGCGCCUAACACAUGCAAGUCGAACGAGCGAGCGAGAGCUUGCUUUCUUGAGCGAGUGGCGAACGGGUGAGUAACGCGUGAGGAACCCGCCUCAAAGAGGGGGACAACAGUUGGAAACGACUGCUAAUACCGCAUAAGCCCACGGUGCCGCAUGGCACAGAGGGAAAAGGAGCAAUCCGCUUUGAGAUGGCCUCGCGUCCGAUUAGCUAGUUGGUGAGGUAACGGCCCACCAAGGCGACGAUCGGUAGCCGGACUGAGAGGUUGAACGGCCACAUUGGGACUGAGACACGGCCCAGACUCCUACGGGAGGCAGCAGUGGGGAAUAUUGCACAAUGGGGGAAACCCUGAUGCAGCGACGCCGCGUGGAGGAAGAAGGUCUUCGGAUUGUAAACUCCUGUUGUUGGGGAAGAUAAUGACGGUACCCAACAAGGAAGUGACGGCUAACUACGUG
rnacentral:rRNA from 1 species